AUGGCCCCUACUCACGUGGCAACUAUCGUGGCUACUAGUCCACGAGGCUCAGCCUCUGGAGUGGGUCAAGGAUCCGCUCCAGCUGAUCUCUAACCCACUGGGGCUGACUGAGCCCUGCUCUUGGCACUCCUCCAAUCUCCCAUGGGAAUCUCCCCAUAUGCUUACUUUCCCAGCAGGCCCCGGUGGCUUUGAUUAGCUGGGGUCCUCUGCUUCUUCCCAGAGGUCAGCCCUGCCCCAGGAAUCGACUGAGAAUUUGGUUCCAUUCCUGGACACGGAUUCAGCUAGAGAGCUGUCCCCAGGGCCAGAACCUUCUUGUCUGGACACCCAGAUCUGAAUGACAAGCUGACUCAGCAAGAAAGGCUCCCAGAGGUGGGUCCAAUGCUGGACUGGGAUCAGAACCAGACCCUAGUUCAGCCUCCUCGCCUCAAAAGUAAGGUUCAAACUACAGAUGUAGAUCAGGCUGCAGAUCAUCAGGCAGAUGAAAUACUUAUUCCACCUCUAGACAGUAAGGAUUUAAAAGCAACGGAGUUUAUAGUUUCUCCCAAGGACCUGAAGAAAGAUCCAGCUCAGCAUUGGAGGCUUGCUAAGGUUGUGGGAACUCCACGUAGAUUUGUAUCAAAACCUCAGCAUCAGAAACAAACUUUGCAGGAUGAGUAUUUAAAGUAUGGAUAUGCUGUAUCCCAGCAGCCUGCUGCCAGAACUUCGGGUGAACUCAGAUGAGCCUCCAGGGCCCCCUGAGCAAGUUGGACUUUCUCAAUUCCAUCUAGAGCCUGAAACUCAAAAUCCAGAGACCCCUGAAGAGCUCCAGUCCUCUUCCCUCCACUAAGAAGCCCCAGCAUGGCUUCCACAGCUCCCUGAGGAAGUAGAACCUUCUUCAACACAGCAGGAGGCCCCAGCUGAGCCUCCAGAGUCCUCUAUGGAAAGUCUAGCUCAAACUCCACCGAAUCAUGAGGUGACAGUUCAACCUCCAGGUAAGGAUCAAGCUCAUUAUAACUUGCCCAACAUUACAGUUAAACCUGCAGAUAUGGAGAUUGCCAUAACUUCAGAGCCUACCAAGGAGACAGAAUCUUCCCAAGCCCAGCAGGAGGCCCCUACUCAGCCUCCAAAGGAGGUAGAACCUUCUACAACCCAACAGGAGGCCACAAAGGAGCCUCCAGCUCAUUAUGAGGUGACAGUUCCAACACCAGGUCAAGAUCAAGCUCACCACUCAAUAUUGCUUAGUGUCACAGUUCAACCUUUAGACCUGGAGCUUACCAUCACCCCAGAAUCCACAACAGAAGUUGAACUUUCUCCAACCUUGCAGGAGACCCCAACUCAGCCUCCUAAGAAAGUUGUACCCCAACUUCCAGUGCUUACCAUAACUCCAGAACCCACUACAGAGACUGGACAUUCUACAGCCCUGGAGAAGACUACAGCUCCUCGUCCAGACGACGUUCAGACUCAGCAUCAAAACCUGACUGAAGUCACAGGUCCACCUACUGAUCUAGAACCUACUCAGGAUUCACUGGUGCAGUCUGAAAGUUACACCCAAAAUAAGGCUUUAACUGCAUCAGAGGAACAGGCCUCUGCAGGCACCAACAUGUGUGACCUCUGUACCUGCAGAGAUGAGACGCUGUCGUGUAUUGAUCUCAGCCCAAAGCAGAGGCUCCGCCACGUGCCUGUGCCAGAGCCGAACACCUACAACGGCACCUCCACUAAUGGAAAUUUCCAAGGAAACUGUAUUUCUUAUAUUGAUGGAAAUGUAUGGAAAGCAUACAGUUGGACUGAGAAACUAAUUCUCAAUGAAAAUUAUUUGACUGAAUUACAUAAGGAUUCAUUUGAAGGCCUGCUAUCCCUCCAGUAUUUAGAUUUAUCCUUCAAUAAAAUACAGUCUAUUGAAAGACACACAUUUGAACCACUACCAUUUUUACAGUUUCCAAAUCUUGGUUGCAGUUUACUCACAGAACUGAGCUUUGGAACAUUUCAGGCCUGGCACAGAAUGCAUUUUUUACACAAAAUUCUCAAUCGCAAUCCUCUGACAGCUGUUGAAGAUCCUUAUUUGUUUAAAUUGUCAGCAUUAAAAUAUCUAGACAUGGGAACAACACAGGUCUCACAACAGUUAAGAACAUCCUUACAAUGAUCUUGAAUUGAAAAAACUGAUCUUACCUAGCCAUAUGGCCUGCUGCCUCUGCCAAUUUAAAAAUAGCAUUGAGGUUGUCUGCAAGACAGUCAAACUUCAUUGCAACAGUGCAUGUCUGACAAACACCACGUUGUCUUGAAGAAGUAUCUAUAGGGAAUCCCAAAGGAGCGUUCAUGAAGGUGUUACAAGCCCGGAAGAAGCACACGAGCACUGAGCUGACUAUUGAGCCGGAGACGCCCUCAGACAGCAACGGGCUCAACUUGUCAGGCUUUGGGUGUGAUCAGAUUGAAAUUCAGCUAAACCAGCAGCUAUGGUCCCUCAUCCUCAUUUGUCAUGUUUUCCGGAGCUUGAAAGUUUACUGCUCUGAGACCCGUGUGCAAUUAGCCUGUGCUAAGCUCAUCUCUAGGACAGGCCUCCCGAUGAAGCUUCUCAGUGAACAGCAAGAAGUAAAGGUGUCAAAGGCAGAAUGGGAUACGGACCAGUGGAAAACUGAGAACUGUUAUAAAUGAGAGCACGGAAGCCCAGAGUGAACAGAAAGAACAGAAGUCAAGUGAGAUGACCACACAGAAAGAAGUUCCAGGAUAUGCCUAUAACAACAAACUCAUCUUGGCAAUAUCUGUGACUGUAAUAGUGAUGAUUUUAAUUAUAAUUUUCUGUCUCAUUGAGAUUUAUUGUCAUAGAAGGGCACCAAAGGAAGAUGAAGGAUUCUCAAGGGGCGUUUCCAGACGUCUGCCACACAGGACAUGCUCAUCGAAAAGUGCGACUCAGGGUGGCUUUUUCUCAUUAAGAUGGCUGCUCUGGCUUAGGGAUAUGUACAGACCUGUCAGUGCCACACGCGUAAAAAACAUGACACAAAAGCUGCCUGACAAGGAGUCUUCCAGUGAGGACGAGAUCUUCAACAGGGACGCUGCGUAAAUGAUGGUCCCUCACAGUUCCCAUCUAAAAUGAGGAGGGGGUGAGAAGCUUAAUUCCUCCUUUCAACAAUCAAAACUUUGCCAAUCAAAACCUUGUUAUUCUUAUCCCAGGGACAGCGAAGCCCCAACAGAGAAGACUCCAACUGGAGAGUCUGCUCCUGAGGGGAAGGAGAGUGAGGCCCUGCAGUAGGAGAACACUGAGUGACCCCAGCCCACCUCAGGCCUCCUGCAAAAGACUUAUUUUUCUCAUAUCAAAUAAUAUAAUUCUAGCUAUGCAGUAUGACAUUUAAAUAUGUAGUUAAAUAUUUGUGCAUAAAUAACAAGGAUCAUCAGAAAGAAAAACAGGACUGAAGCCAGUGGCCCACAAAUCCACCAGAGGCAGCAGGCAGGGGAAGCACAGCCACCAGAGGCAGCGGGCAGGGGAAACACAGCCACCAGAGGCGGCGGCCAGGGGAAGCACAUCCACCAGAGGCAGCGGGCAGGGGAAGCACAGCCACCAGAGGCAGCGGGCAGGGGAAGCACAGGGCCAUCUUGCCCUCCCUGGUUUCCCAAUCUAAUUAGUCACCCAGACCUGAAAACAUACCCUCAGGGGUGGAGGUUUUACAAUUAAAUACCAUUGUUCUUGGUGCCCUCGCCCCUGGUUCCAUCAAGCACCAGUCAUACAAUACAACACACUUGACCUCCUGCCCACAGGGGACCUCCCACCUCUGAUCCCUGCUAGGGACCAGUUUCAGGGCCUCACAGAUCAAGUGUGAGGUGUUAAAUGUAGAAACAUUAACUCUUAGUCUAAUGGGGGAACAGACAUGUAAACAGACAAAGCAGGUACAGGCAUUCCAGACACAACAUUGUGUGCAAGGGCGUGGUGGGGUGAAAUAGAUGGAGGGGGCAGGUAGCACAAGACUUUGGCGCUGUGAGAGUCCCACGUGCAUCUGGGAGAAUUAUGGCAGAGGAGGCUUUAAGUAGUCGGGAGAAUCUUGGAUACCUUGCACACUGUCUGGACUCCUAGAGAUGGGGGUAUACUGAAGAGUUUCAGGAACGGAAGAGGUCACAUUUGCAUUUUGAAUUGCACAUUUCAUCAGUUUUGAGGAGCAUGAUGCUGGGAGCCUGAGAUACUAAUUACAGACUGAUCAUAAGAGACCAGGCAGGAAAUGAGAUGUGGCAGUGCGGAUGAUAGAGAGAGGAAGCAAAGAGAUCAACCAACCUCUGACCUAGGUGCCGUAAUGCCAUUAACCAGGCUAGGAAAUGCAGGGAAAGGGCAGAUAAUGAGCUUAGUCAAGCAAGCCUGGUCCAAUGGCACAUCCAAGAGAAAGUGUCCAGAAGGCAGGCGAAUAAACUAACUCGGUGCUCAGGUGGGAACUCGGCUAGAUUUAGAUCUGGCACCUUUAGCCUGUGGCAGAUUGUAUGAGCGUGGCUAAGAUCAUCUAGGGAAGAUGGAUUGGGUGGGAAGGCCAAAGCUUUGGGGAAUGUCAGUAUUUAAUAAAGGUCAUGGGGCCAAUGAGGAGGGAGACUGAGAAGGGGUGUUUAGGCCAGCAGAGAUUCUAGCUGACAUGAAGAUGUCUCAAGGUUUGUUUCUUCUGGGCCUGGAAGCCUCAGGCCAGAAGAAUUUUGUUUUGACCUU